UGCCCCCUUUUCACUUUGCCAGGCUUGUUUUUAUUGCUUAUUCAGAAAGGAAAUAUCCUUUUAAAGCUCAGGCAGUCUGGGUGUUUUUCUUGUAGCCUGUCAGAGGAAACCAAA